GACGAUGCCACAGACGAAGCUGUUGAAGACGAGUUUAAUGAAAAUAAUGAUGUUUCUAGUGAUGACGAGAAUGUUGAUGUAUCCGAUUGAUGUAUUUGAUUUUAUGUAGUUUGUUUUAUGAAUAAGAUAAUGUGGGAGUUUGAUUUAUGAAUAAGGUAAUGUGAAAGUUUAUUUUAAUUAUGAAUAAGGACUUGUGGUUUGGGGUUUGGAAUAUAUUAUAAAUAGGGUUUGAGGUGAAAGAAUAGAUUGAGGUUCAAGGGUAGAUGGGUUUGGGGUUUGGAAUAUAUGAAGUAGAAGAUAAGGAAGAUGGGGUUUGGGGUUUCGGAGUUUAGGGAUUUAUACGUAAUACUCGUUAAUUCCUCGUAAGCCAAAAUCGUCGUAAGGUUGUCGUAAGGCCACGAGGAGUUUACGACGAAAUUAAAAAAAUAAAGAAAGCGGGACACGCUAAUUCCACGCAAGCCAAAAUCGUCGUAAGGUUGUCGUAAGGCCACGAGGAGUUUACGACGAAAUUAAAAAAAAUAAAGAAAGCAGGACACGCUAAUUCCACGUAAGACUCUCUGAGUGAAUGAAAAUAAGGAAUUGUGGUUUGGAAUGAAAAUAAAGAUAGGGUUUGGAAUAUAUGAAGUAGAAGAUAUGGGGUUUGGGGUUUGGGGUUUCGGGUUUUAGGGAUUUAAAUGGAAUACUCGUUAAUUCCUCGUAUGCUAACGUCGAACUUACGACGAAUUCCUCGUAAAUACCACGUAGGACAGAUUCGUCGUAAAUACCACGUAGGAGAGAUUCGUCGUAAAUACCACGUAGGACAGAUUCGUCGUAAAUACCACGUAGGACAGAUUCGUCGUAAAUACCACGUAGGAGAGAUUCGUCGUAAAUACCACGUAAAGUAAAUGAUGAACGCGGCCCACUUUAAUUCCACGUAGGACGGAAUCGUCGUAAACACCUCGUAACCAAAAUCGUCGUAAACACCUCGUACCGUAAAAACUAAAAAAAAAAAAAGAAAAAGAAGAAAUAUACUGGAUUUACAUGUGGC
rnacentral:lncRNA from 1 species